ACUCCGUCCCUGUCGAGGGAACGCAGCCCACAGGAGGGUGCUGACCGCAACCCUGCUAGAUGGGAAGGUCGAGCCAAGGUCACCGAGACGCUCCCAAAGAGCCAGCUUCCUGCAGCCAACGGGAACAGGGCAGAUGAGCAGAACAGGAAAUUGUGUUGAAGAUACCAGCCCUUGUGGAGCCAGAUACCAAUUAAAAAGGUGCCUCCCUGCCAGGCGGAGCAAGCAAGGAGUGACCCUUCACUGCAGCAGCAGCAGCCCAAACCCUCAGUGAAUGCCCAUCUCCCAUGACUGUCAGUGGGUCCAGGUGAGGGCCAAACGUCCCUCUGACUCAGAGUCCAUGAGGCAGAAUGAGGCGGCGUAAGGCAGCGUGAGACAGCACCAGCUGGAAUUUGAUGUCCCCCCGGUUGGUGCUAGUGGGGCCCACAGGGAGAUGAGCCCCUACCUCCGCCCAGUGGCUAGCAGGCAGUUCACGGGAGUGUAUGAUUUGGACAAGGAUGUGUCAGCAGGGUUGAGAGUGAAACCAAAUUUCCAGCCUCACCAUCUGGCAAUAGGUGGCAUGAACUGGAGAAUCACUCGCUCUGGUGGUAUUAUGGGCAUCAGGCAGGAACGUGAACAUUCACCCCUCCUUGGGCCUGCAUGUGGCACCUAAACAGAGGGAACCAAACACAAACUACACAGGGCCACAGUCUCGUUAAAAAUACCCCAAAGAUCCUGGAUGGAAUUUUUAAAAAAGCACUCAUCCUACAAGAACCAGGGCCACCACAGUGUUGAGAUGCCAAUGUUGAGAUGAAUCAGAGGUUGAAAUUAUCUGACAAGGGCUAUAGAGCAGCAAUCACAAAAAUGCUUCAAGAACAAAUAUGAACCCACUUGAAACAAAGGAAAAAACAGAAAAAUCUCAGCAAAGCAAUAAAAGAUACAAAAUGAUGUCAGGGGAAAUUUUGAAAUUAAGAAAAAUACAGUAACUGAGAUUUUAAAGUCGCUGGAUGGGCUCAUUGGUAGAUGGGUGACAACAAAGGAGGGAAGCCAUGGAUUCAAAGAAAUCAGCAGAAUUCAAAGAAGGACCAGUCUGAGCCACAGAGAGAAAACAGACUGAAACAAACAAAAAAGAAACAAAUAAAUAAGCUGAAACUCAAUGACCUAUGAGACUACUACAAAUGUCACCACACUCAUGUCACUGGAGUCGCAGAAGGAGAAGACCACAAGGUGGGGCUGAAAAAAGAUCUAAAGAAAAAUUGCUGAAAAUUCCCCUAAAUUGACAGAAGGUAACCUCCAGAUUCAAGAAGCUGAGUAAAUCCCAAAUAUGAUGAACCCAAAGAAACCCAUGUCAAGAAACAUCAUAGUCAAACUUCUGAAAACUAGAGACAAAGAAUUCCUGAGCUCAACCAGAGAGCAGUACGUACCACAUUUGGGGGAACCCCAGUGCAAAUGAAGGCAGAUUUCUCAAGAGAGUCAAGAGAAAGUGGUACAUUUUUCAAGCGCUGAAAGAAGAGAACUGCCAAUCCCCAAAUCUUUUAGCCAGAGAACAGACAAACAAACAAAAAAAUACAUCCUUCAGGAAUAAAAGGGAAAUAGAUCACAGACCUACAUUUAAUAUAGGAAACUAGAGAGCUCCUAUUGUGACGCAGCAGAAACCAAUCCAAGAAGCAUCUAUGCAGGUUCAAUCCCUGGCUUCACUCAGUGGGUGGGGGAUCGAUCGGGCAUCUCUGUGAGCUGUUGUGUAGGUCACAGACACCGAUCAGAUCUCACAUUGUUGUGGCUGUGGCAUAGGCCAGCAGCUGUAGCUCCAAUUUGACCCCUAGCCUGGGAAUUUCCAUAUGCUGUGGGUGUGGCCAUAAAAAGCAAAAAUAAAUAAAUAGAUAAACAGGAGUUCCUGUUGUGACUCAGCAGUUAUUGAACCUGACUAGCAUCCAAUAGGAUGCAGGUUCAAUCCCUGGCUUCACUCAGUGGGUGGGGGAUCAGAUGUUGCCGUGAGCUGUGGUGUAGGUAAGAGACAUGACUUGGAUCUGAUGUUGCUGUGGCUGUGGUGUAGGCCGGUGGCUACAGCUUCAAUUGAUCCCUAGCCUGGGAACCUCCAUGUGCCACAGGUGCGGCCCUAAAAAGACAAAAAGGCCAAAAAAAAAAAAAAAAAAAGAAAAAGAAAAA
rnacentral:lncRNA from 1 species